rnacentral:rRNA from 1 species
UGGGGAAUCUUGCGCAAUGGGCGAAAGCCUGACGCAGCGACGCCGCGUGAGGGAAGAAGGCCUUCGGGUUGUAAACCUCUUUCAGGAGGGACGAAGCCACUCGGGCUAAUACCCCAGAGGGUGACGGUACCUCCAGAAGAAGCCCCGGCUAACUACGUGCCAGCAGCCGCGGUAAUACGUAGGGGGCAAGCGUUGUCCGGAUUCAUUGGGCGUAAAGCGCGUGUAGGCGGCCAGAUAAGUCCGCUGUGAAAACUCGAGGCUCAACCUCGAGAUGUCGGCGGAAACUAUCUGGCUAGAGUCCGGAAGAGGAGAGUGGAAUUCCUGGUGUAGCGGUGAAAUGCGCAGAUAUCAGGAGGAACACCCGUGGCGAAAGCGGCUCUCUGGGACGGUACUGACGCUGAGACGCGAAAGCGUGGGGAGCAAACAG